GGAUCGGUCAAUACUUCUAGUGUGUGUGACCCCAUAGGUUCUAUUCUGACUGGUAGUGAGAUAUAUUGUGAUCUCUAUCACUAUAUCAUUGAAAACUCCUUUCAAUUGGUUGGAACGAUUCCAACUCAACUCAUUAGGGUUUAUCGAUCAUCGAGAUAAUCCCUGUGAGUCCCACCAUCCACCAGUGACACCUAGCAGCAUGUAGUGGCUACCAAGCAGAAUAGAAUGAUGAACCUCUAGGUGCAGUUAACGUGUGAUACAGUCCUACUAUCGUGGAUCCCUACAGAACGGAGGUCAUGGACAACUCGUCAAACCCCAUCGUCUGUCAUAUGUCAAGAUUUAUUCGGCUUGAGUUCGAUAGUGGAAAACUCUUUUUCCACUUUAUAUUA
rnacentral:lncRNA from 1 species